GGCUGGAUUUGCUCGGUGGCGUCGCUAACGCAACCUUACCUGCUGAGUGCCCGAGUACACGGUAUGCUUGCGUGGUUAUGUGUGCCAGCUGCGCGAGAGCUUGGCGGUGAACGUAUGUGUUCGUUUGGUCUCAACAUCCGUCCCUCUCAUCAGCGCGUUUAUGGAGCCGCUGUUACUUUUCCUGGCGGGCAGUCAUCUGGCGAAAUGGCAUCAAAGAGGAAGAAAACUGUUGGAAGAUAAUGUGGGUGCCUGCGGAACUGUUGUCUCAAGAACUAUGGUACAAGUCUAAUUGAAGUCAGCCUGCGUCACCGAAGCAGCAGCAGCAACAACAACAAAAACCAGGCCGUCAUUCGUGGGCCUCUGCAGGAUUUUGUCUUGGUUUAAACUAAGGAGCAUCUGGUAAAGGAGAGUUGGUAAGGCAUAAAAAACCUAAAACUAUGCCUAAAAAUAACAAUACACAAGAAAUAAGUGGGUGGGAUCACAACUACCAUUUGACUACAGACUAACAGUGUUUAGUUUACGCUUGUACCGUCCAUUAAUUUCUUCUUGCGAAUUGUUUCUAGGCGUAGUUAUGUGUCUUACAUAUUUUGUGAACCUGUGUUGCGUCGCGAUGGGGGAGGCGUGGUUGAGAGGGGAAAGAAUGUUUCCGUACUACAUUUUUUCUUGCUCACUGCAGCAGAAAGUAUAUGAAAUAAAGUGCCAAAAUUGCGUCAUAGCAA